rnacentral:tRNA from 1 species
AUCUAUUUAGUACAUUCAGUAUAUUUGAUUUCCAAUCAAAAGAUUUAUUUAAUAAAAUAGAUA